rnacentral:lncRNA from 1 species
GGAAAAGGUACUGGGAGCAUUAAGUGAGCAGUGUGUCCCUUCUCCAUUUCUCUAGAACAACAUUUUACUAUCAAGAAUCAGACACAGAAUUAAGCCACUAAACCUGCCAUCUAAUAUGAGUAGAAAGGCAAGCUCAGUAUCAAUCAUUUCCUCAUUGUUCUUAUUUAGAAAUGAUUUUAGAUGGUCUUAAGAUGAAAACAAGAAGAAUGCCAAAGGAAUAUCUUUAAACACUCUUACCAUUAUAAUAUAUACAAUAUAACAGAAAGUCCUUAAAUAUAGGCUUAAAAAUAUAUUCUGGGGGAGUUUUUUUAAAA